UGAGGAAUAUUGGUCAAUGGACGAAAGUCUGAACCAGCCAAGUCGCGUGAAGGAUGAAGGUUCUAUGGAUUGUAAACUUCUUUUGCAUGAGGGUAAAGUGUGGGACGUGUCCCAUAUUGCAAGUAUCAUGCGAAUAAGCAUCGGCUAACUCCGUGCCAGCAGCCGCGGUAAUACGGAGGAUGCGAGCGUUAUCCGGAUUUAUUGGGUUUAAAGGGUGCGUAGGCGGGCUGUUAAGUCAGCGGUGAAAGUUUGCGGCUCAACCGUAAAAUUGCCGUUGAAACUGGCGGUCUUGAUUGCAAGUGAGGUAGGCGGAAUGUGAUGUGUAGCGGUGAAAUGCUUAGAUAUGUCACAGAACCCCGAUUGCGAAGGCAGCUUACCAAUAUGCUAAUGACGCUGAGGCACGAAAGCGUGGGUAUCAAACAGGAUUAGAUACCCUGGUA
rnacentral:rRNA from 1 species